AAUCAAUCGCCACAUUUCGCACGUCUAUUCUUUUCUUUCACGUAUUUCACCAAGUUCACGCAUUUCCCUGUGAAAAAAAAUGCAUCUUUCUAUUUCUUGUCACCCGCUUAGGUUUAGCUUGUUCCAAUACCAAGGCGACUCCACAAAAUGGUAGCUACUACGGCACUUCUCCACAAACCCACCUUCAAACUUUCUCUCUCUUAUCCUUCUAACCUCCGUACCUUCAAACCCACUCUGCUUCUACGACUUCCAGCUUCAAGAUCUGUUUUCUUUGGUGCGUUUGGUUCCAAGAAAGGCGUGUCGAAGACCUCCAUGACUGAGCUGUUCAAAACUUCUGCUUUUAGGGAUGAUGAUGGUGAGAAAAAUGUCAGAAUGUUUCAACAAGAAGCUUUAGUAAAGGAACCCUCUAAGUUUUCUUCCGAAUUGACGGCUGAGGGAUUGGAACGCACUCUCAAUCGUUUGGUUUGUUACUUUUUUUCCCCUCUUUUUUUUAUCGCUCUGAACUUUGUAAUAUAACUAGUUUUUGCAUUUGUUCAAAACUUAUGCAACUAAGGCUUUUUCCUUUCACGUGGGUCUUUAUUUCUAUUUAUUGCCUCAAGCUUAGAUUUUGUAUGUGCCCAAGAAAACUGGAAUUAUAGCAUAGCAAGGGGUUUGGUUGAAUCUAAUAUUACCCAUUACAAAAUCGAAUUAGAAAUGCAAUAUUCUUGGUAAUCAUGAAAUUUAUGCAGUUAUGUAUUACAAAAUAGCCGACCCCAUGUUUAUGAGAAUUUAACCCAGCAGAGAAAGCGAAUCUAUGUAGCCGAUCACAGGCUUAGUUGAAUUAAGUUGAGUUGAGUUUUAUGUAUUACAAAAUCAUAUGGCACAUAAUAGUAUUUGUACCCAGAAAAUCAAAUAUUCUAUACUCUUGUUCCUCCGUGGGAACUUGGGAACACUGUAUAAGUCACUUAAAAUUUAUAGAAUUUAUCAUUUAAUAUCUGUGAUAUAUUUAUGUGAGCUUCAAUUGUAGAAAGUUAUUUAGUAUUUCAAUAACCUUGGACCAAAUUUUAGUCCCAAUUUUCCAAUUCGCUUUGGUACUAUUAUGUUCUAAAACUUUUCUUUCAGCAUUUAAUUGAGCAUUCUCACUCAACAUUCAGACCAAAUAACUUUUGUCAUGAAAUUAUAGCGUAUUUGUUCUUGGUACAGAGCAAGUGGUUUGUAUCUGUCUUGUUUGCUGCUGUCAUUCUUUGGAGGCAUGAUGCUGAGUCCAUGUGGAUUGCUAUGGGGUCUGUAUUAAAUGCUAUCCUUUCAGUAACACUCAAACGGAUAUUCAAUCAAGAGAGACCUUUUCCAUCGGCAAAUUCUGAUCCCGGGAUGCCAUCUUCACAUGCACAAUCUAUCUUCUACACUGUUGUGUUUUGCAUUCUUUCAAUUACAGAAUGGUUUGGAGUAAAUGAAUUUACCUUGAUCAUAAAUGCACUCACCUUGGUAUUUGGCUCAUAUUUUGUAAGUAUCAUGUUGUCACUCAUGCUAUAUUGUACCUUACAUGCUUAUGGGCACAGCUAACUUUAUUAUUAUUUUUUUUUUCAGAAAGAAAUAAUGUAAACUGAAGAAACUAAUGGCUUUACGAAUUAGUGAAAUGAAAGAAAAAUUCAUAGAGCCUGAGAACUAGUCUAAGAGAUUCUACAUUCUUAAGAACAUUAGGACAAUAGGUUAACUAAUAGAGUUUAUGACAAUAGCAGACACUUGAUUUUUUCCCCCUUAUAAUUGGUGAUGGUUUAUGAAAUCUAUUCAUUGUGCAGUAAAGUGAGAAUGGACUGGUUGCUGAUGCUUAUCUGUGUCAUCUGUUUUUGUAGUCAUGGCUACGGGUAUCACAACGAUAUCAUACAACCAGCCAAGUUGUGGUUGGUGCUGCUGUUGGGUCCCUAUUCUCAUUUUUGUGGUAUUGGUCAUGGCAAUCCAUUGUGCUGGAAGCAUUUGUUUCCUCCUUGACAGUUCGAAUAAUUGUCAUUCUGGCAGCUUCUACAUUCUGCCUAGGCUUUCUUUUAUAUGUGAUUCGCCAUUGGCUUAAGGAUGAAGAAUGAAAUUAUUUUAUGGGGAUAAAGGUAACUGCAAGCUGACUGAAUUCCUUUUUGGAAUUACAUUAUGGAAUCACAUUUGUUGUUUCUGAUUCAGUACAGUCAACUGGGUUUUGCCAUGAGGCUCAAUAGAAUCCUCUGUCAUGAGAUGCUGAAUACUUGGUGGUUGAUCAGAUUAGCUUUCUUCCUUUUUCCUUGCUUUGAGACUUAAAUUAUUUGGUGGUUGAUCAGAUUUGAUUUGAUUGCUAACUGAUCUUUUCUGUGCACUAAUAUGCAAACAUGGUUUAUAGUCGUUUUGAGAUUGAAGUGCAAUCAAACACAGAAAUUCAAAAGGAGGAAAAUGGCAAAAUAUUACUCACAAUUGCGUUAAUUACAACUAGGAUUUACUAAGAUGGUAUUUUAAAAAAAAAAAAAUUGCAAUUUAUCCAGUAAAAAAAAAUCAAAUUUUGACUUAACGUCAAAGUAACAAAUGAGCAACACCACAUGAAUUUUGAGUUACAUCUACAUGCCCCAUGAACCGAACAAAACUGAAUUGCAUCUUGGUGGUCCUGAAUAUGAUAAACAAGCUCAUUCAGAAUCUAUAAAUGUCAAAGCUAUAAAAUUUUAAAGGCCUACGUUAUCACUAUUAGCAUGCACUUUGCAAAGGCAACCUAUGUUGGAAAUUCCCAUACCUGUUUUGUCCAAAUAUCUCCAAA
rnacentral:misc_RNA from 1 species